GGCGGCGUGCCUAACACAUGCAAGUCGAACGGGAUCAGGGGCUUGCUCCUGGUCUAGUGGCGCACGGGUGAGUAAUGCGUAGAUAAUCUGCCUGAUGAUCCGGGAUAACAUUCCGAAAGGGGUGCUAAUACCGGAUAAGCCCACGGAGUCUUCGGACGCUGCGGGAAAAGGGGGGGACCUUCGGGCCUUCUGUCAUCAGAUGAGUCUACGUACCAUUAGCUAGUUGGUGGGGUAAAGGCCUACCAAGGCUACGAUGGUUAGCUGGUCUGAGAGGAUGAUCAGCCACACUGGAACUGAGACACGGUCCAGACUCCUACGGGAGGCAGCAGUGGGGAAUUUUGCGCAAUGGGGGAAACCCUGACGCAGCAACGCCGCGUGAGUGAUGAAGGCCUUCGGGUCGUAAAGCUCUGUCAGUGGGAAAGAAGUGUAUUAUGGCUAAUAUCCAUGAUACUUGACGGUACCCACAAAGGAAGCACCGGCUAACUCCGUGCCAGCAGCCGCGGUAAUACGGA
rnacentral:rRNA from 1 species